rnacentral:rRNA from 1 species
GGUCUCAGUUCAGAUUGCAGGCUGCAACCCGCCUGCAUGAAGUCGGAAUUGCUAGUAAUCGCGGAUCAGCAUGCCGCGGUGAAUACGUUCCCGGGCCUUGUACACACCGCCCGUCACACCAUGGGAGCCGGUAAUACCCGAAGUCAGUAGUCCAACCCCGUGAGGACGCUGCCGAAGGUAGGAUUGGCGACUGGGGUGAAGUCGUAACAAGGUACC